rnacentral:misc_RNA from 1 species
GAAAUGCGAUAAGUAGUGUGAAUUGCAGAAUUCAGUGAAUCAUCGAAUCUUUGAACGCACAUUGCGCUUCCUGGUAUUCCGGGGAGCAUGCCCGUUUCAGAAUCAUUAAAAUCUCAUAAUACUUGCUUUAUGUUAACACAUAUGACAAGUUUGUGGAUUUUGGAUGGUUUGUCAUUUGGCAAUCAUUUAAAAUUGAUUGUAUGUGCUCCAAUUGCAUGUGUCUUUUGGGUCUCUAAAGUGCAACAGAUUAUAUCUAUUCUCUUUGGGCCUUAAAGAUGUACAUUGGUGCAUGUAUCCAAAGUUAUAAUACAGGAGCUAUGCUGUAUGUAUAGUUUCUGAUAACUUGGUCUGAAAUCGGGCAAGAAAACCCGCUGAACUUAA